rnacentral:rRNA from 1 species
AGAACGAACGCUGGCGGCAUGCCUAAUACAUGCAAGUCGAACGAACUCUUCGGAGUUAGUGGCGCACGGGUGCGUAACGCGUGGGAAUCUGCCCUUGGGUUCGGAAUAACAGUUGGAAACGACUGCUAAUACCGGAUGAUGACGAAAGUCCAAAGAUUUAUCGCCCAGGGAUGAGCCCGCGUAGGAUUAGCUAGUUGGUGAGGUAAAGGCUCACCAAGGCGACGAUCCUUAGCUGGUCUGAGAGGAUGAUCAGCCACACUGGGACUGAGACACGGCCCAGACUCCUACGGGAGGCAGCAGUAGGGAAUAUUGGACAAUGGGCGAAAGCCUGAUCCAGCAAUGCCGCGUGAGUGAUGGAGGCCUUAGGUUGUAAAGCUCUUUUACCCGAGAUGAUAAUGACAGUAUCGGAGAAUAAGCCCGGCUAACUCCGCGCCAGCAGCCGC